rnacentral:rRNA from 1 species
GAUGAACGCUGGCGGCGUGCCUAAUACAUGCAAGUAGAACGCUGAAGGGGGAGCUUGCUCUUCUGGAUGAGUUGCGAACGGGUGAGUAACGCGUAGGUAACCUGCCUGGUAGCGGGGGAUAACUAUUGGAAACGAUAGCUAAUACCGCAUGACAACAGCUAUUGCAUGAUAACUGUUUAAAAGGGGCAACUGCUCCACUACCAGAUGGACCUGCGUUGUAUUAGCUAGUUGGUGAGGUAACGGCUCACCAAGGCGACGAUACAUAGCCGACCUGAGAGGGUGAUCAGCCACACUGGGACUGAGACACGGCCCAGACGCCUACAGGAGGCAGCAGUAGGGAAUCUUCAGCAAUGGGCGGAAGUCUGACCGAGCAACGCCGCAUGAGUGAGGAAGGUUUUCGGGUCGUAGAGCUCUGUUGUAGGAGAAGAACGAGUGUGAGAGUGGGAAGUUCACACUGUGACGGUAUCUGACCAGGAAGCGACGGCUAACUACGUG